UUUCUACUACAGCGAUGGAGUGGCGACCCGUCCAGGGUGAACCUGCUGGGUGGCAACUGGUGGUUAAUGGCUGAACUGCGAGAAAAUAAAUUCUUCAAGAGGAAACACACAUCAUGGACAAAGAGCUUAAGUUUCUCUUUUGGUAUCCCUCUCCAUCCGCCCUCAAACGGUGCACAGCUGAAGAGAGAGAGGCCGGAUCUCCAGAACAACAAGGACACAGGUGGAAUCAACGCAACUCAAAACACCUGCAAGGAUGUUUCAACAUCUCAGACUCAGACAGCUACUGGGACGAAAUGGAAACUUUAUAUAAUUUAUAGAAGAAGUUUGAUGUUUAAUUUUAGUAGGUUAACUAAUGGAACUGGUUUAUUAAGUGUUUAAAUUGGUACCUCAGGUAGUCUGUCUUGUUUGAUUCAUUAAGUUAGUAUUAGAAUGAUUUAACUGGCCUUGUUGACCUAACACUGCUACAGAAAGUAAAGUAAUAAUGUUCUGUGAUUAGUUCAUUGAAGUACUGUUUAAGUUAAAGGUAAAUUAAACUAAUUAAGGUCAUUUUUA